UAUGUGAUCGUCUCUCGCAUAUCAAUAAGCGGAGGAAAAGAAACUAACAAGGAUUCCCCUAGUAACGGCGAGUGAAGCGGGAAGAGCUCAAAUUUGAAAUCUUAAAGGGUUUCCCUUUACGAAUUGUAGUUUAAAGAAGUGUUUUCUGUUGAGGUUUUGGUAAAAGUUCUUUGGAAUAGGACAUCAUAGAGGGUGAGAAUCCCGUAUUUGACCUUUACUUUCAACUUUGUGAUACACUUUCAAAGAGUCGGAUUGUUUGGGAAUGCAGUCCAAAAUGGGUGGUAAAUUUCAUCUAAAGCUAAAUAUUGGCGAGAGACCGAUAGCGAACAAGUACCGUGAGGGAAAGAUGAAAAGAACUUUGAAAAGAGAGUUAAACAGUACGUGAAAUUGUCAAAAGGGAAGCGUUUGACACCAGUGUUGUUUUUCUGAAAAUCAAUUAAAGAACUGUUUAUGCUAAGCUGUUUAGACUUUAUCAGCUAUCUGUUUAGUUUUGAGCUUUUCUUUAAUGCACUUUUCAGUUAACAAGUCAACAUCAAUUUCUUUUGCUGUAAAAAAGCUUGAGGAAGGUGGCUUGAGAUUCGUCUUAAGUGUUUAUAGCCUCUUGCCUAUGCAGUCGGAGAGAUUGAGGUCUGCAGCGUAGAUCCUUCGGGGCUAAAUGCAUUUGUGCUAAGUUAUAGCAUUUUAUAGACAACUUGUUGACUAUGAUUUGUCUUGUAGCUUACUCGCUUAUGUUAUUUUACCUACGCUUAGGAUGUUGAUCUGUAGUGCGUGCGC
rnacentral:rRNA from 1 species